GCCGAGUUAGCUCAGUUGGUAGCAGCGUCUCUCCGAAGAAGAGAAGGUCGUCGGUUCAACUCCGACACUCGGCA
rnacentral:tRNA from 1 species